AUAUGGUCAAGUGAAGAAGCGCAUACGGUGGAUGCCUUGGCAGUCAGAGGCGAUGAAAGACGUGGUAGCCUGCGAUAAGCUUCGGGGAGUCGGCAAACAGACUUUGAUCCGGAGAUCUCUGAAUGGGGGAACCCACCUGGCAUAAGUCAGGUAUCUUGUACUGAAUACAUAGGUGCAAGAGGCGAACCAGGGGAACUGAAACAUCUAAGUACCCUGAGGAAAAGAAAUCAACCGAGAUUCCCUUAGUAGUGGCGAGCGAACGGGGACUAGCCCUUAAGUGGCUUUGAGAUUAGCGGAACGCUCUGGAAAGUGCGGCCAUAGUGGGUGAUAGCCCUGUACGCGAAAAUCUCUUAGUCAUGAAAUCGAGUAGGACGGAGCACGAGAAACUUUGUCUGAAUAUGGGGGGACCAUCCUCCAAGGCUAAAUACUACUGACUGACCGAUAGUGAACCAGUACCGUGAGGGAAAGGCGAAAAGAACCCCGGAGAGGGGAGUGAAAUAGAUCCUGAAACCGUAUGCGUACAAGCAGUGGGAGCCUACUUUGUUAGGUGACUGCGUACCUUUUGUAUAAUGGGUCAGCGACUUAUAUUCAGUGGCGAGCUUAACCGAAUAGGGGAGGCGUAGCGAAAGCGAGUCUUAAUAGGGCGUUUAGUCGCUGGGUAUAGACCCGAAACCGGGCGAUCUAUCCAUGGGCAGGUUGAAGGUUAGGUAACACUGACUGGAGGACCGAACCGACUACCGUUGAAAAGUUAGCGGAUGACCUGUGGAUCGGAGUGAAAGGCUAAUCAAGCUCGGAGAUAGCUGGUUCUCCUCGAAAGCUAUUUAGGUAGCGCCUCAUGUAUCACUGUAGGGGGUAGAGCACUGUUUCGGCUAGGGGGUCAUCCCGACUUACCAAACCGAUGCAAACUCCGAAUACCUACAAGUGCCGAGCAUGGGAGACACACGGCGGGUGCUAACGUCCGUCGUGAAAAGGGAAACAACCCAGACCGUCAGCUAAGGUCCCAAAGUUAUGGUUAAGUGGGAAACGAUGUGGGAAGGCUUAGACAGCUAGGAGGUUGGCUUAGAAGCAGCCACCCUUUAAAGAAAGCGUAAUAGCUCACUAGUCGAGUCGGCCUGCGCGGAAGAUGUAACGGGGCUCAAACCAUACACCGAAGCUACGGGUAUCACUUAGGUGAUGCGGUAGAGGAGCGUUCUGUAAGCCUGUGAAGGUGAGUUGAGAAGCUUGCUGGAGGUAUCAGAAGUGCGAAUGCUGACAUGAGUAACGACAAUGGGAGUGAAAAACUCCCACGCCGAAAGACCAAGGUUUCCUGCGCAACGUUAAUCGACGCAGGGUUAGUCGGUCCCUAAGGCGAGGCUGAAAAGCGUAGUCGAUGGAAAACAGGUUAAUAUUCCUGUACUUCUGGUUAUUGCGAUGGAGGGACGGAGAAGGCUAGGCCAGCUUGGCGUUGGUUGUCCAAGUUUAAGGUGGUAGGCUGAGAUCUUAGGUAAAUCCGGGAUCUUAAGGCCGAGAGCUGAUGACGAGUUGCCAUUAGGCGACGAAGUGGUUGAUGCCAUGCUUCCAAGAAAAGCUUCUAAGCUUCAGGUAACCAGGAACCGUACCCCAAACCGACACAGGUGGUUGGGUAGAGAAUACCAAGGCGCUUGAGAGAACUCGGGUGAAGGAACUAGGCAAAAUGGCACCGUAACUUCGGGAGAAGGUGCGCCGGUGAGGGUGAAGGACUUGCUCCGUAAGCUCAUGCCGGUCGAAGAUACCAGGCCGCUGCGACUGUUUAUUAAAAACACAGCACUCUGCAAACACGAAAGUGGACGUAUAGGGUGUGACGCCUGCCCGGUGCCGGAAGGUUAAUUGAUGGGGUUAGCUAACGCGAAGCUCUUGAUCGAAGCCCCGGUAAACGGCGGCCGUAACUAUAACGGUCCUAAGGUAGCGAAAUUCCUUGUCGGGUAAGUUCCGACCUGCACGAAUGGCGUAACGAUGGCGGCGCUGUCUCCACCCGAGACUCAGUGAAAUUGAAAUCGCUGUGAAGAUGCAGUGUAUCCGCGGCUAGACGGAAAGACCCCGUGAACCUUUACUAUAGCUUUGCACUGGACUUUGAAUUUGCUUGUGUAGGAUAGGUGGGAGGCUUUGAAGCGUGGACGCCAGUCUGCGUGGAGCCAUCCUUGAAAUACCACCCUGGCAACUUUGAGGUUCUAACUCAGGUCCGUUAUCCGGAUCGAGGACAGUGUAUGGUGGGUAGUUUGACUGGGGCGGUCUCCUCCUAAAGAGUAACGGAGGAGUACGAAGGUGCGCUCAGACCGGUCGGAAAUCGGUCGUAGAGUAUAAAGGCAAAAGCGCGCUUGACUGCGAGACAGACACGUCGAGCAGGUACGAAAGUAGGUCUUAGUGAUCCGGUGGUUCUGUAUGGAAGGGCCAUCGCUCAACGGAUAAAAGGUACUCCGGGGAUAACAGGCUGAUACCGCCCAAGAGUUCAUAUCGACGGCGGUGUUUGGCACCUCGAUGUCGGCUCAUCACAUCCUGGGGCUGAAGCCGGUCCCAAGGGUAUGGCUGUUCGCCAUUUAAAGUGGUACGCGAGCUGGGUUUAGAACGUCGUGAGACAGUUCGGUCCCUAUCUGCCGUGGACGUUUGAGAUUUGAGAGGGGCUGCUCCUAGUACGAGAGGACCGGAGUGGACGAACCUCUGGUGUUCCGGUUGUCACGCCAGUGGCAUUGCCGGGUAGCUAUGUUCGGAAGAGAUAACCGCUGAAAGCAUCUAAGCGGGAAACUUGCCUCAAGAUGAGAUCUCACUGGAGCCUUGAGCUCCCUGAAGGGCCGUCGAAGACUACGACGUUGAUAGGUUGGGUGUGUAAGCGCUGUGAGGCGUUGAGCUAACCAAUACUAAUUGCCCGUGAGGCUUGACCA
rnacentral:rRNA from 1 species